GAGGUUAAGCGACUAAGCGUACACGGUGGAUGCCCUGGCAGUCAGAGGCGAUGAAGGACGUGCUAAUCUGCGAUAAGCGUCGGUAAGGUGAUAUGAACCGUUAUAACCGGCGAUUUCCGAAUGGGGAAACCCAGUGUGUUUCGACACACUAUCAUUAACUGAAUCCAUAGGUUAAUGAGGCGAACCGGGGGAACUGAAACAUCUAAGUACCCCGAGGAAAAGAAAUCAACCGAGAUUCCCCCAGUAGCGGCGAGCGAACGGGGAGCAGCCCAGAGCCUGAAUCAGUGUGUGUGUUAGUGGAAGCGUCUGGAAAGGCGCGCGAUACAGGGUGACAGCCCCGUACACAAAAAUGCACAUGCUGUGAGCUCGAUGAGUAGGGCGGGACACGUGGUAUCCUGUCUGAAUAUGGGGGGACCAUCCUCCAAGGCUAAAUACUCCUGACUGACCGAUAGUGAACCAGUACCGUGAGGGAAAGGCGAAAAGAACCCCGGCGAGGGGAGUGAAAAAGAACCUGAAACCGUGUACGUACAAGCAGUGGGAGCACGCUUAGGCGUGUGACUGCGUACCUUUUGUAUAAUGGGUCAGCGACUUAUAUUCUGUAGCAAGGUUAACCGAAUAGGGGAGCCGAAGGGAAACCGAGUCUUAACUGGGCGUUAAGUUGCAGGGUAUAGACCCGAAACCCGGUGAUCUAGCCAUGGGCAGGUUGAAGGUUGGGUAACACUAACUGGAGGACCGAACCGACUAAUGUUGAAAAAUUAGCGGAUGACUUGUGGCUGGGGGUGAAAGGCCAAUCAAACCGGGAGAUAGCUGGUUCUCCCCGAAAGCUAUUUAGGUAGCGCCUCGUGAAUUCAUCUCCGGGGGUAGAGCACUGUUUCGGCAAGGGGGUCAUCCCGACUUACCAACCCGAUGCAAACUGCGAAUACCGGAGAAUGUUAUCACGGGAGACACACGGCGGGUGCUAACGUCCGUCGUGAAGAGGGAAACAACCCAGACCGCCAGCUAAGGUCCCAAAGUCAUGGUUAAGUGGGAAACGAUGUGGGAAGGCCCAGACAGCCAGGAUGUUGGCUUAGAAGCAGCCAUCAUUUAAAGAAAGCGUAAUAGCUCACUGGUCGAGUCGGCCUGCGCGGAAGAUGUAACGGGGCUAAACCAUGCACCGAAGCUGCGGCAGCGACGCUUAUGCGUUGUUGGGUAGGGGAGCGUUCUGUAAGCCUGCGAAGGUGUGCUGUGAGGCAUGCUGGAGGUAUCAGAAGUGCGAAUGCUGACAUAAGUAACGAUAAAGCGGGUGAAAAGCCCGCUCGCCGGAAGACCAAGGGUUCCUGUCCAACGUUAAUCGGGGCAGGGUGAGUCGACCCCUAAGGCGAGGCCGAAAGGCGUAGUCGAUGGGAAACAGGUUAAUAUUCCUGUACUUGGUGUUACUGCGAAGGGGGGACGGAGAAGGCUAUGUUGGCCGGGCGACGGUUGUCCCGGUUUAAGCGUGUAGGCUGGUUUUCCAGGCAAAUCCGGAAAAUCAAGGCUGAGGCGUGAUGACGAGGCACUACGGUGCUGAAGCAACAAAUGCCCUGCUUCCAGGAAAAGCCUCUAAGCAUCAGGUAACAUCAAAUCGUACCCCAAACCGACACAGGUGGUCAGGUAGAGAAUACCAAGGCGCUUGAGAGAACUCGGGUGAAGGAACUAGGCAAAAUGGUGCCGUAACUUCGGGAGAAGGCACGCUGAUAUGUAGGUGAGGUCCCUCGCGGAUGGAGCUGAAAUCAGUCGAAGAUACCAGCUGGCUGCAACUGUUUAUUAAAAACACAGCACUGUGCAAACACGAAAGUGGACGUAUACGGUGUGACGCCUGCCCGGUGCCGGAAGGUUAAUUGAUGGGGUUAGCGCAAGCGAAGCUCUUGAUCGAAGCCCCGGUAAACGGCGGCCGUAACUAUAACGGUCCUAAGGUAGCGAAAUUCCUUGUCGGGUAAGUUCCGACCUGCACGAAUGGCGUAAUGAUGGCCAGGCUGUCUCCACCCGAGACUCAGUGAAAUUGAACUCGCUGUGAAGAUGCAGUGUACCCGCGGCAAGACGGAAAGACCCCGUGAACCUUUACUAUAGCUUGACACUGAACAUUGAGCCUUGAUGUGUAGGAUAGGUGGGAGGCUUUGAAGUGUGGACGCCAGUCUGCAUGGAGCCGACCUUGAAAUACCACCCUUUAAUGUUUGAUGUUCUAACGUUGACCCGUAAUCCGGGUUGCGGACAGUGUCUGGUGGGUAGUUUGACUGGGGCGGUCUCCUCCUAAAGAGUAACGGAGGAGCACGAAGGUUGGCUAAUCCUGGUCGGACAUCAGGAGGUUAGUGCAAUGGCAUAAGCCAGCUUGACUGCGAGCGUGACGGCGCGAGCAGGUGCGAAAGCAGGUCAUAGUGAUCCGGUGGUUCUGAAUGGAAGGGCCAUCGCUCAACGGAUAAAAGGUACUCCGGGGAUAACAGGCUGAUACCGCCCAAGAGUUCAUAUCGACGGCGGUGUUUGGCACCUCGAUGUCGGCUCAUCACAUCCUGGGGCUGAAGUAGGUCCCAAGGGUAUGGCUGUUCGCCAUUUAAAGUGGUACGCGAGCUGGGUUUAGAACGUCGUGAGACAGUUCGGUCCCUAUCUGCCGUGGGCGCUGGAGAACUGAGGGGGGCUGCUCCUAGUACGAGAGGACCGGAGUGGACGCAUCACUGGUGUUCGGGUUGUCAUGCCAAUGGCACUGCCCGGUAGCUAAAUGCGGAAGAGAUAAGUGCUGAAAGCAUCUAAGCACGAAACUUGCCCCGAGAUGAGUUCUCCCUGACUCCUUGAGAGUCCUGAAGGAACGUUGAAGACGACGACGUUGAUAGGCCGGGUGUGUAAGCGCAGCGAUGCGUUGAGCUAACCGGUACUAAUGAACCGUGAGGCUUAACCUUA
rnacentral:rRNA from 1 species